rfam:Pseudomonas alcaligenes NBRC 14159 DNA, contig: PA6016.
ACCUACCGGGAACUGGAUGUCCCGGGUCAAGGAAGACAGACCGCGCCAGGAUGGCAGACGACAGGAUGUCGGAAGGUCAUAAAAAACCCGCUUCGGCGGGUUUUUU